AGAGCGAACGCUGGCGGCAGGCCUAACACAUGCAAGUCGAACGGACCCUUCGGGGUUAGUGGCGGACGGGUGAGUAACACGUGGGAACGUGCCUUUAGGUUCGGAAUAGCUCCUGGAAACGGGUGGUAAUGCCGAAUGUGCCCUUCGGGGGGAAAGAUUUAUCGCCUUAGUAGCGGCCCGCGUCUGAUUAGUCUUGUUGGUGAGGUAAUGGCUCACCAAGGCUACGAUCAGUAGCUGGUCUGAGAGGAUGACCAGCCACAUUGGGACUGAGACACGGCCCAAACUCCUACGGGAGGCAGCACGUGGGGAAUACUUGCGCAAUGGGCGAAAGCCUGACGCAGCCAUGCCGCUGUAUGACUGAAGGUCUUAGGA
rnacentral:rRNA from 1 species